AAACCAACAAGCUUGCUUGUUGGGGUUGUAGGACACUCUAUACGGAGUUACAAAGGACGACAUUAGACGAAUCAUCUGGAAAGAUGAAUCAAAGAAGGUAAUAAUCCUGUAGUCGAAAAUGUUGUCUCUCUUGAGUGGAUCCUGAGUACGACGGAGCACGUGAAAUUCCGUCGGAAUCUGGGAGGACCAUCUCCUAAGGCUAAAUACUCUCUAGUGACCGAUAGUGAACCAGUACCGUGAGGGAAAGGUGAAAAGCACCCCGGAAGGGGAGUGAAAUAGAACCUGAAACCGUGUGCUUACAAGUAGUCAGAGCCCGUUAAUGGGUGAUGGCGUGCCUUUUGUAGAAUGAACCGGCGAGUUACGAUUUGAUGCAAGGUUAAGCAGUAAAUGUGGAGCCGUAGCGAAAGCGAGUCUGAAUAGGGCGUUUAGUAUUUGGUCGUAGACCCGAAACCAGGUGAUCUACCCUUGGUCAGGUUGAAGUUCAGGUAACACUGAAUGGAGGACCGAACCGACUUACGUUGAAAAGUGAGCGGAUGAACUGAGGGUAGCGGAGAAAUUCCAAUCGAACCUGGAGAUAGCUGGUUCUCUCCGAAAUAGCUUUAGGGCUAGCCUCAAGUGAUGAUUAUUGGAGGUAGAGCACUGUUUGGACGAGGGGCCCCUCUCGGGUUACCGAAUUCAGACAAACUCCGAAUGCCAAUUAAUUUAACUUGGGAGUCAGAACAUGGGUGAUAAGGUCCGUGUUCGAAAGGGAAACAGCCCAGACCACCAGCUAAGGUCCCAAAAUAUAUGUUAAGUGGAAAAGGAUGU
rnacentral:rRNA from 1 species